UGAAUCUGGAAGCAGCAUUUGUGCAGCUCAUAGCAAUAUGAUACAGAUCCAGCCACCUCACAGCCAGAUGAGAUGGAAAUGGAUGUAUCAAGCCAUGGUUGAUAGCCGAACAUCCAUGGGUACUGUGGAAUUGAGAACACUAAAACUACAGUUCAACUUAGCUGGAGAAUAACAAUCUUCGUUGGAUUGUGAUAAACUUCCAUGGAAACAAUUUUCUCAGCGCACCUGUUGAGGGGAGAAACAAGGCUGCUUCAACCAUCAAUCUGUGGGACCUCAGAGCUCAGGCUGAAAGCAAAGGUGAAACGAAAUACGAAAAUUGCAGUGCAGCAGAAGAGGAGUCAGCUAUCUGAGGGCCUCUGCUGAAAUCCCAUCUUUCGGAAGUCAGUACCAGAACUUCCUCGGCAUCCGUGACUGUGAUUUGGCCCACAUGGUGGUCACUGCCCUGGUGUGUUUCUCCUUUAUUCCUUCCCUGUGGGACACUGAGCAGAAGCUGUUUCCAAACACCUGGGAAAGUUUGGAACCAGCUGAAGACCUCAAUUGCCACUGGUUUCCCAUAGGAUUUUGAUGCCACAGAAAUGCACAUGAAAGGUGUUGAGGGAUUUCUCUCAUUCUGAAAAUCCUGCUUGUGCUCCUCCUUCGUUUCACUGGUUUCCCAAGGUCAGUGCCAUAACUUUCUGGUUUGUCCUGGAAGGAAAAUGGUACCCAGCUGCACUGUUAAAAAAGCUGGUGUACAGCAAGGAGAACAUAUAAAGAGGGACCAUGAUCAUUUAUCCAAAUGCAAACCAACACCCUGGUCUAAAGUGAUUGUGGACAACAACUAAUGCCUCUCAAAAGUGUAUCCACAACUUGGACUGGGGAGACUGGGAGGUUAAAUGCCAUGUUGAAUUUAACAUGAUUAUUCUGCUCAGCUUCACACUCCAGGUCUGUUGAGAAAUAUCAGUUUGACAGCCCUGAAGUCUGGGGGCUGUUUAUCCACCACAGGGGUACUGCAGAAGUGGAAAUUUUCCUGACGAGAGGCUGCAUCCCUGGCGCCGUUCAGCACAGGUGACCACGGCGGCAGCAUGCUGGUGUGUGGGGAUCUGUCUGCUGCACGUGCCACAGCCCCAUGCUGCUUGUUUGGGGGGUUUUAUGUAGAAUCCAACACCCCCACCACGAGGUGAUACAAUUAUUUUUUUUUUGGACGAUGGGGUGGGAAGUGGUUCUUUGCUUGUUUGUUUUGGUGAUUAUCCCAUUAGGCUGGAUUGAAGCUGAGCUGAGUUUCAGUUCUGCUGCAAGGCAUGAUGGAGCUGCAGGCUCUUGCCCCAGGGCUGAACUGUCCCCUCUUUUCCUUCCUAAUGUACAUUAGACACAUUGGGGCCUUUCUCUGCUGUGCAUUUAUAACUCCCAUUGACGCUAAUGGGUGUGACAUGUGUCUAUCCAGUGGAGAAUAGACCCCAUUGACUACAGCAGUUCCCCGGCCUUGAGCGAUGCUCGUCACUUGAUUAAGCCAAACUAAUGAGGCACGACCAGGGCCAAUGGGAGUGUGUGGGACUCGGGCGUUGCACAAGCUGGUGCAAACCUGCAGCUUUUCCAUGGGCUGGGUUUUGUUUUACCAGGCAAAGAUGCAGGAUGCCGUGGGAUGGGGUGCACAGUAAUGGGUGAAAAGGGUUCACCAUCACUGAUGACAGCACCCCAAUUGCCCUCUUCUAGUGGCAACUAUACUUGAGAGUCUCUUGUGUGCUCAGCAGUGUUUAAAAGUUGGUUUGAUCUUGGCUUUUGCUCAGUGUCUUUCUACACUGGAUUCUGAACCUGGCCCUACGGCUCUUUCUCUGGGGCAUAUGUAUGGAUGUAUUUUUGGCUUUUUAGCAGGCAGCCCACAAGUGGCUAAGGCAGGCAGCAUCCUUUUCACCAACAUUAAACAGCAUCAGUUUGGGAAAUGGGAAAGGCAGGGAAAAGCAGAGACCCUGCAGUGAGUUCUUCUUGCAGGUUGCCCACUCUGCAAGAAAAGCCACUGUCAGCAUGGUGGCUCCUCAGCUGGGUGCAUUGCUGGCUACCACCUCCCAGUGCAGAUCACCUGCUGUACUGGGAGGGAGCUGGAGGAAUGUGCAGGGCUGGAGCCUCUUUUUCUUUGCCUGGCCCAAAAUCAGCCAAACUGGGCCAGAUGCAGGUACCCAAACUUAAGUGCUUGGGAGCUCAGCCUGAGCGUGACUGUGCUUGCAGAGGAACAGGUUGGGAGGAAAAUCAAGUGCUAGGAAGAGGCUGGCACCUCACAAACUAGGAGCAUGGAACAUGGUCCCUGUGAACAGGCAUGUACUACAUAUGAGCACAAGAUGCUGCUUGCUGAACUGAGGCCAGGAACCCUGGCUUUCCUGCAAAACACAGCAUCAUCCAGAGCCGCUGUGGUAAUACUAGGGCACAACCUAGUAGUUCAGGGCCAGACUACAAAGGCAAGAUAGAUCAGUUGUAGAUCUUGAGAGAAAACAGUAUUAAAGAAACCUAAAUUCUAUUUUAAGACCGGCUGUUUAGGAGAGGUUGAGAAGUUGCCUGUACUUUCCCCUGUACUUUACCUGCUGGUACAUUCCAGGUCAGAGGAGGUUUGUAUUUUUGUCAUAUAGCAAUACUUGCCUUUAUGUAAGUGCUGCUAAGAAUAAAAUUAGCAGUGGGAGAAAAACAUCAGUUUGAUGUCUAAAUUUGGAAAACUUGAUGAAUAAAUCUAUUAACUUCGUUGUGGAGAGAGAAAAGAAUAGCAGCCCUUUGUUUAAAGAAAAGAUAAAUAUAAAAUAAGAGCUGAUUGCUCUCUCUGGUUUUCUGAGGUGGGUUUUUUAGUGUUCUCUUGUCCCUUUAAGAAGAUAAAAAUAUAUUAAUUGACUGUUUUAUUCGCAGGACUGUGGCUUGGAAGAUAUGGUCAGCUGGAUCCAGGAGACUUUAUCAAAUGCUUUCAGCAUCUGCAAAGAGAGAGAGCAGAGUGGGACAGAGGGUUCAUUCACUUAAAUAAGAGUCUCCCCAGAAAUGAAGUGCCAGCCAGGUGUAUGGCACCACCGCUGUCCUUGCGGGCACAGUCACAGAGGGCAACCCCUGUCCUAUCUCUGAUGGGAUGCAGCACAGGGCUCUCCAAGGUUUGGCAGAGGGACUUCAAGCUUGAAACUGCCCCAGGCAUCUCCAGUGUCCUCCCACCCCUGCAUCCCAGGCUUUGUGGGACUGUGUGCUCCAGUCAAACCCCAUGGUGAUCAGAGUAUAUACAUGAGAGUCUUCUGGCUUUGUCUAGAGCUGUAGAGAACACAGCCAUCUGCUCCUCACGAGGCAGGUGCCUCCUUCUGCCUGCCACAAACUAUAGAACAAAGCAGUAGAAGUCCUCAUCACAGACCGUAGCAUUUUAUGGCAAGCACCGUCUUCCUUUGCCCAACAUCUCUGGCAGCUGUGCCCACCGCUUUUCUUAGCAUAUCCAGAACAGGUCACUUUUACCUUUACUGGUAAAUUAAAGAUUAUUUGUGAAGCAAAUGAGGUUGAAAACGAGUUUAGAAACGGAAAAAAUUAUUAGUCAGGUACUAGAUUAGUCCUGGUCUAUUCUAAGAGCUGGAUAACUUCCUAGUCAUCCCAUCUGUUUUUCACUGGAGGUCCCUUAUUUUUGUGCCAGCUGUUAGGGCUGCAAGUUCCACAUUCAAGUGCUGUGGAAAUGCUCUCUUCAACCUCCUCCUUCUUUCCUCUCAUCCUAAUUGUUCCCUCUAAAUCUUCUUGGAGUAAGAAGCUGGCAUAUGAAUGUGAAUGUCCUGUUUAGUUGUUCUUCUCAAGUGGCAGCCUUAGGUGCUUAAUGACCAUUUCCCUCUCCUGUUUUGUACUAAAUUGGCUGGGCAUGGAGGAAAGUCCGUGCAUAAACUAAGUGAAUACUGUUUAUGUUUUUCCUGUAGCUGCUCUUUGGACACCUACGGGUCAUUAAUUCCUUUGUUCCCAGCCAACCUGCCAGCUGGCAUCUCUCCUGCCCAGUUAGUGCCAUUCCCUUCCUGUGGGCUGCUGACCCAUUCCCACUGAACCCCACUACAGGACGUGUUUGGGAGGGACCGCUCUUGGGAUCUUACUAGCUUUCUGCUGAGACUAGAAGUGAUAUAACCGAUACAGUCAUAAUACAGAUAACCAGGAGCUCUGUCUGUUUUCCCAGCCUACCCUCUACAUAUUGGCGGUGUUAAAUGAAAGAGUAAUAUUAUUACUUUGGUGAGGGCAUCGAGCCAUGCUAGCAGGUGGAUGCCACUGCUGAAGAGAGGCUAAGAGCUACGCUGUGACUAUAGAUCCAUCACACAAAAGCGCAAAAGUAUUACUGCAGCCUCCGAGAAACAGCCUCUGAUGAAGGAAAGAAAAUCAGCGUCAUCUCAUGACACUGCUGUUCCUGUAGGCUGUGAAUUUAAAAGGCAGGCUGAGGAAUGGAGCAUGGAAAUCCCUGCUGCUCAGGAGCGAGACUAUUUUUCUCCUUUAAGAACAUUUGCUCAGCUUUUUGAUUUCCAGUGUUUCCAGUUGCCAUAUCAACCUGCGAAAUUUGCCUGGCAAUUGACAGCAUAUCUUUUAACAGAAAUUUACAAAUUUAGUUGCAUCAGGUCCAGCAUCUGAUUGCUGGGAUUUCACUUUAUCUUAUUUUACUCCUGGUAUUUGCUUUCGAACUCACAUUAGCAGAUGACCAAGGACCCCUACCCUUCCUUUGACCAGGCACAUCUCAGGCUCUGCAGUCCAUGUGGAGAAAUUAGGCACCAAGUCAACAUUCAGCAGACAUCAGUAGCAGGAUAACGCCUGCAGGACACGUCCUUCUCGGGUAGCAGGCUGGGAAAGGACACAAGCAUCGACAGAAACACUCUGGCUUAAGCCAAGUGGCAAUUUCAGCUUUUAUGUUGCUCUGAAGAGCGGGCGCAGAAGGCACAAUGGAGGGCAAGGAGGUUUCUCCUGGCUUUGCUGUUAGUAUGUUGGGCUUUUUGAGCCUGCACCUAUCCCCGUUUCCCUCCCAGAACUGCUGGGAUGGGGAGGAAUAGGGUGGAACAAGAGCCCACCUUCCCCCCAUCCAUCCAUCGACGUCCUCUAUCCAGCCCUGGCCAUUCAUGGGCUGCUGGUGUAAAUAGGGCCUGAAUCUGCCCCAGUGCAGAUGACUCUGUGGGGACUUUUCUGUGGUGAAUAUAUUGCUUGGUUUGUUGUGGGUUUGUGGUAGGCUUUUUCUUUAAAAGGAAUAAGAAUAGAAAACAAGAAAGUCAAAAAGCCCUGAAUCUUUACCUUUUUGAAGUGGAGACACCGCCACAGCAGGACAUAAUGGCUCACUGUGGUGGUGGUUUGCCUGAGAGCCUGGAGAUUUAUGUAAUGAGAAACACAAUUCCUGCAAAGAACAUUGUUAAAUCUUUUCAAAAUUUCAGCUAUAAGCCAUUUUAUUGCUAAUAAUAUGGCUAGAUUCUCCUUUUGAAGAAUCUGGGAAUGUUUGACAAGAGCAGAAAAUGGAGAGGACUUGAGGCACCAUAAUCUGUAUUUUCCAUUUACCUUGCUUGAAGCUUGAACAACACAUGUGCCACAAAUGAUUUGUUUAUUCCUAAGCGCCCCCAAGGAGCCCAGUCUCCAUUCUCAGGCAUAUAAUGGCUAUUCAAAUGAAAGCUUUAAUAGAUUGUUGCAGAUCUGAUAUCAAUGCGGUGAGAGAAAGAGAUAUGCAAAUAUUCGAAAUUAAACAAACUAGCUCCUGCCCUUUGCCUUUGGAGGUGCAGUCUCAAAUCUGGACGGUGUCACCAAAGCAAUGAGUUUGUUGAUGCAGCUCUCUGGAGAACUAGUUCCUUUUUUUUCCUUUUUUCUUUUUUUUUCUUUUUUUUGCCUGACAAAGCUUUCACAUUGUUUGAAAUAUUUUCUGCCUGUAGCACUCAUGAGCAAGGAGAGUCCCAACUGGGGCUGAAAUUCAUGAUAUGUUCUGAUUUGAGACUGAGGAACGUUGGUGGGAGAGCUCCUGCUGUGCUGAUUUGCUCCAUGCCAUCUUAAACCAAGGCCCUUAACCUCAGUGCAUUCCCCUGGGCAUUUCCCCAUAUGGUAGAAACAAUUUUGGAAGAGUGGCACAGUGGAAAGCUUGCAGUGGGAGUAGAGGUGAAGUUCAGUUUGGGGUUACAGUCUAAAUAAAAUUUGAUUCUCUCCACCCUGCAAGACAGUUUAGGGACUUCACUGGUUCUUAACACGGCCCCUGUUCCUUGUUCUCUCCCUGUAGUGUUUGAGAACUGGGCCUGAAAACCACUUCAAAAAUAUAAAAAUAACAUGUCAUCCACCUAACCAUUGAAACUGUGCCAGCAGCUACUGUGUGCAUUGAACAGCAGGGAAAAAUAAUAAUUUUACAUCAAAAACACCAUAAAAGUUUUCAGUGUCUUCUAGGCUCUUGUAAAACUGCUAUUAUCUUGUCCAACCCCCAAGGCUUUUUGUGCAAUUAUCAAUUACGCUGUGUGGAUUUCAAAAAAGGCAGUGUCUGAAACACGGGCCACGUGGGGGAUCGCACAAACAGCAGCGGUCGCACGGCUCUGCCUGGUCGGCAGGAGGUCCCCAGGCACCUCGGCUCUGACGCAGGCUCCUGGCUCAGGGGCAGAAGUCCUCAGAGCAUCCCUGUACCUCUGCUGCCAUCCUGUCUUCUGCACUGUGAUCACAAGAGCUUUGAAGCAAGGCUUGCCUCUUGCUCCAUCAGCACUGCUGAUCAACCAAAUGUUCCCAGCAGUUAUGAGUGAGACUCAACCUAACAUACCUCCAGAUAUCCGCAAACAUCUAGAAAGCCUAUGACCUAUAGUAUGAGCAAUCAGAAAUGAAGAGAGAGCCAAAUGCUCAGAAGGAAGCAGGAGGAGGACCUUGCUUCUGUUGGGAUCUGUGAACAGUCUUCUUGCUGUAAUAGACACCAGAGUAUGUCAGAAGUAGUGUGGGAAGGUGGACUUGCAUCUCCUUCAUUAACAUUAGCCAGGGCUGGCCAUCCUGGGUUUGGGGCAUAGAAGAUCUGAUGAGAACCAAAAAGGAAAAUGCCCAAUAGUAAAAUGAUAGGGAAAAGAACAUCUUCCCGUGUGAAUGGUAUCAUAUAGAAACGUUCCGCAAAACUGUAUGUUGUGACAGUGUUUGCAGCAACAGUCAAAUCCCACCUUUGAAUGUGGUUAGACAGUUGGCUUCUACUUGGAAUUAAAGGCCAUCUCUGAAAACCAUGGCCGUGUUUAAACAUGAAGUGGGACAUAAAUUUUAUGGGCUGUGACCACCAAAAAAAAAAAGCUGACUUACAGUGGGAGAGGAUUAGGAUGGGACAUUCCCAUGAAGUCCUCCCUGCUCUCCAGAGGUGCCCAGUCUGUUCCUAGAGGGCCUGGACACCCAGCACUCCUGUGUACUUCCCUUGACACUCGGGGGUGGUUAGUGUUUCUGAAAGAUGGAUUUAAAGGCUUCAGACGAGGGAUGUUUCUUUUGGCAUGUCACAAGCACAAGAGAGAAGAAAGAAAAUGGACUUCUCCAAAGUUCUUCCCAAAUGCAUGCCCAAUUCAAACAAAUUUGUCCAGUUUCUUUGCAACUGAGAAUUCCAGAUCACAGGUAAGUCUAGCACAGACUUCCCUAAUACCAUCACCAGCUGCACUGAACCCUUGCUAAGCAGCGUAUAGCAGCAGAUUUGUAUAGGAAUUUUCCAAAUAAGCAUUUUUCUACUUCAAAAAUAUUCUUUAAAAACUGAUACAUCUUGUGAAAAGCUCUUGAUUUUGGCAUAUCUCAUUUUCAGUUUAAGACAUUUUGACCUGGUCAACAUUUUAUAACGGAAGACAUUAUUUUUCUAAUUGGCAUGUGCAAUUUUGUAGGUAAAAAUAUAUUAAGGCAAAAAUAAUAUGAUAUAAUGCCAAAAUGUUUCAUUAAAACCUAAGCAGCAUAUAACUGUUUUUUGUUUCUUUCAGACUGCUGGUUUUCAGCAACUGAGAUUACCAUUUUUGGUCAUAUUUAAGACAGUGGAGAAAAUGUGACAUUCUGAAAUGGUUGCGAGAUUCGGUUUUCCACUAAGCUCUCCUCAGAUGAGUUUGUAGAAAUUCUUCUUUCUUCUCCAUCCUCCCUGGCUCUGUUUCCAUGCAAUUCUGUUCACACUGUUCUCCAAGACAAAAAUCUGAGACAGGCUGAGAUUUGUGCUAAUGGUGAGUGCCCAUCUUUUUUAUUUUUUUUCUUUACAUAAAACAAUUUCCUAAGGCAUUGAAAUGGGGCUGAUAAAAAGCAGCUUUUAAAAUUCGUUCUAGUAAAUUGUUGUAAGCCAGACCAUAAAGUCUCAUAACUGUAGGUUUGCCCUUAAUUGUACCUCACCGACAGCCUAUUUUCCUUCUCUUCUGCAACCAGUUCCCUCUUUCUUUGAGCGCAAAACGUGUUGUAUGCGACUUCUGAAAGAUUUGUGAGGUUUCACACAAAUUGAACAAGAUCUGCAGGUAAACACUGUCACCUAGUGGAGAAGCAGCAUCAAUUUUCCCAAAGUGUGGAAGAAAGUUUGUCCGUGUACUUUUCCAUUUUGUCCAAGAAAAAUAUUAUUUCAAAAUUGAAAGAAUCCACUACUGAGAAAUUGCACUAUUUCCAAAUCGGUGCAGAAUGAAGGGUGCAUAAUGUGGUGGCCAGUGCUCAGCUGAUAUAUAGGUCAUGUGCACAGGCACAGAUCCAGCCACAUCAGCAGAUACAAAAGUGGAGAACCGACACUCCAGCUCAGUGCCUGAAUAGCAAAAGGCUGAUUUCCUGGAUGUGUAAAGGUGUUCCAGGCUCCACACCAUCUCCUUUGCCCUCGGCUGCCCCUCUCCAGGCACAGAAAACAAGAGAAUGUCAGCAGGUGCCUUUGCUGUGCAAUUAGCUCAUUAGAGGGUGGGAUGAUGACUUUAGAGAUGUGGUGGUAGAUAUCUGAGAGAAAUGGUGCCUAGAGAGAGCAGGAGGUACAAUAAGGCUUGAAGAGCCUUCCGAGUAGGAGGUAAAAGUCUGGAAAUUCAGGGCAUGAUAGACUCAAACAAGGGUAAAAUGUUCUAGAAGGAAGGAUACGCUCCUGCAAACUAAAGGAGACUGCGUAUCCUGGAGAACACUUAAAGUACUUAGGUUUAUGCUUUCUAACUAACUUGCUCUCAGGAUCCCUCGGAGUCAAGCUGAAUUUGAACUGAAAGCACUCAAGGAAGAAAUUAGUAUAAACAGAACUAUGUAGAACAGUUCUUCAGUUCCUGGAAACUGUUUGGGAAAAAGAAAAAAAAAAGAAUUCAAGAAACAAAGGUGAGAGCUCAGGUAACUCAGUUUCUAAACAAAAUGGAUACAGGCAUUCCAUACUUUGUGCAGGGUGGAUGGGAAAGUGGAGGUUUUUUGAUCCCCUUUCCCAACCCCUCCUUCUUCCUCCUGUAACAUCAUCACUGCAGCUUAUGAGCAGAACCUGGGAGAAGGGUUGGACAUAUCAACUCUAUGGUUACAAUUUCAUUUGUGUUUUUUUCUGGAAAUCCUUCUAAUCUAAAAUCCCUCUGCUCCUUUCCUCACAGCUUGAUGUAGCUGCUGCCCAUACAGCUCCUCUUAACAGGGUAGCGAGGGCACAGCACCGAGAGGGGAGGCAGCGAGGACCUGUCAGUGGGAGCAGAGAGCUCAUCCUGCCUCUAAUGUUGGAGCAGGCUGGUUCUCUGCUGUUAUCGCCCAGUGCAGGCAGAUAUGGGCCUUUGGCUGCUGUUGGAUGAUGAGAUCAUAAGAUCAUUCAGGUGGGAAAGGAUUUGGAGGGGUUUACAGUUCAACCCCCUGCUCAAUCAGGAUCACCUGAGACCAGGACAGGCUGUUCAGUACAAACCUCAAGGGAUGGAAAGAGAUGGCACAGCCUCUCUAGGUAACAUGUACCAAAGCUUGACUAUCCUCAUGAUGAUAUAGUUUUUCCUUAUAUCUAAUCAGAAUGACUCUUUCCAGUUUAUGUCUGUUGCCUCUUAUUUAUGUCCACCAUGUGCAUGUCUACCAUGCACUUCUGGACUGAUUUCUCUUGCUGAUAUCUGUGGGUUUGCUGUCUCAGUCAGCUACUCUGCCUGUGAUUAAAAGAAGCACUGCCAAGAGCUCUGCUAUGUUAUACGGCCCUGACACAGGCAAAACCAUGAUUUUACUGGUUUCAUUCAUGACUUGUUUAAGACUUGCUGAGAUGAGAAUGGGGGGCUGCAUGUUCCCGUUGGAAAUUUCUUCCCAGCAUACUUGAUUGAAUUGAAAAAUGCAUUUGUGUAGCGGUGUAGAAUGGAGGCUUCAGUUGUGGUCCUGUUGUGGUCUGCAAAACCAAGCCCUGGUGUGCACCCCAUUGAGGGGUUUGACAGGAGAUAAUACAAGACACAGAAAGGGGCAGGAGCACAAGCUAUUGAGAUAUUGGAGGCACAUUGAAAAAGCACUUGAAGGGGAGCAAAAGCAUCGUUCCAGUGAUAGCUCUUCCCGGCCCAAGAGGCAGCAGGCAGGAAAACGUGAAAGUACCUGUCUGAAAGCUCAAAAGUUAGCCUGAGGGAAAUUAUCAGCUUAUUUUUAACAUAAGAGACAAGGCAUGCAGAGGUGGAGGAUUGUGUGAGGUGGUGAGGAAGAGAAAGAUGAAAAGGAAUAUAACCCGCCUGACCUGCAGGCUCUGUAUCAUCAUCCUCCAGCGUGCUGGCUGGGGGAGAACUCUCAGGGUGAACAUCUAGACUCAGGUCUCACACGGACAUGGAUUUGGUCAAAGCAAUAAGCCAAAGCACUUGGAAGAAGGAAUGUUAGAACUCUAGUCAAAAUUAUAUAUAUCCUCAUUUUCAUAGUUCAGGAAACCUGAACUCUAGUACUGAAUUACAUUCCAAAUAAAAGGAAAACACCGAUUGAUUUUUGGGGCAGGUUGUUCUGCUAAGUUCGUGUUUGGCCUUUGUUUUCUUCAUUUUUGUCAUACAUCAAAUAGAUGGUCUGUCAUUCUUCUCCAAAAUGGAGUAAGUGAUUAUCUUGAAAAUCCCAGGGAGCUCUGCAUGCAGACAAGCUAAAACAUGCUGCAAGUUGGGACACUUUCUUACUUGAGUAUACACUUGUCUCCAAAACAAACACUGGCAUAACUGUAUUUGCUGUAUUUGGUGCAGUCUUUCUUCAAACUGUUUUAUUUUUCUUUUUUAUACUAAUCUUGGACCACUUCCCACUGAUAAGUGGAAGGCACCAUCUUCUACUGGUCCUCACCAUGGACAUUGGCUGGCACAGACUUAGUCACAUCACUUUCCUUACUCUGUGCCUCAGUUUACUCCUCCAUUAGUGUAAGUGUUACACUCACUUUCCAUAGUGCUUUUAUUCUCAGGAUCUCAGAGCUCUUUUCUUAACUAUCCUCUCUCAGAUAGUCAAAUCAUUACUAAAUCAGAGCCUUUUCAUUUUUCCCUUCUCAAACAGAAGGUGAUACUAAUUCCUUUGCUCAUUAAAGUGCACAUGGGGAGGAAUCCUGUUGAGUUCAGUGAUACUAUGAGAAGAAAAAGCAGUGUGUGAGGUCAGAAUCUUCCCACAUGAGUUACAAGUGCAAAAAAUUGUGAGCAAAAAGAGGCUGAAUGAACCAAGGAUCCCAGUCCUGGGAACAACAGAAGGAAGAAAUAGAAGUAGCACCUGGAAAAUGCUGCUCUCUUCAAGAGAUGGCUCUGUAGAUAUCCACUAACUCUAAUAUUAAACAAAUAUAAAUUCACCUGUUUAGUUGAAUCCUCUUUUGCUUCUUUAUGGAAACACUUGUAGUGAAGCGACACUUGUAGUGAAACGACAAAAGAACCCACAACCUCUUGUUCCACCAGGAAAUCACAAUUUCUUCAGCCAAGAACAUCUAUUCUGAAGUCUGAGGAGGGCUGGCAUACCCCUGUAAUGCUGUGUAAAGACAGCCCAAACAUCUUAACGUUCCCAGCCUGGAUCCAUCCCUGCUGUCAGCAAACCGGUUGGAUGCUCUUGCUUGGCCUCCUAGCCGUGUGUGCUCCCAUAUCUGUGUGCUCUGAUGGCACCGCGCCGAGCCCAGGGUGGGCUGCCAGCUCCCCCCAGGGAUGCAGGUACUGCAUAAAGAGAGGUUUUGCCAGGCAGCCUGCCUAAAGCUGAGAGUGCCACCGCCAGCACGCUCCUAAACCCUGUUUGGACCCGUUUGUAUAGGAAUACGCCAAAUGUUGGGAGAAGAAGACUGCAUGGGCAAAUGCCGUUGCCAAAAAGGCAAAUUGCGUUGCUCAGGUAUAUGAGGAACCUCUGGCAGCUGGGAAAGGAUAUAAAGAUGUAUUCACAUUAGCAUCCACUCCUCAGGCUGUCUGGGCAAAUGAAGAACCAGGGCAAGCAGCAGGCUAAGGAAAUGGACUGGUCAUGAAACACUCCAUGUGUGUGCAUGCAGAAACAUAGCAACUGCUUUAGAAACUUUCUAUUCCUGUCUUAUUUUAACGUGAAAUCAGGCUUCAGAGUUGACAAAGGUAUUGACUGGAAUGGUCUUUUUUAAUUACAAAAAAAAAAAAUUAUAGACAACACGUUCUGUUUCUGAAUUGAAAAGAGAAGUUAGAAAAUCUUCACUUUGCUUGCUUUUGAGCUCUUCCGUGCUUUAAAAGCUUGUUGAUUUGCUCUUUCCAGUAUCCAUUGCCUGUCUGCAGCAGUUCUGAUCUGAUACUCUGAUUGAAAAUAAGCCUUUUCUAACUAGAUCUAUGAAUGUGGUCCAUGAAGGAUAUCUGUUGACUCCAGAUCCAGUAACAUAGUCCAUGAUAUAGUGGGAAAGCAAAGCCACAGCACAAAAUAUGAGCUUUAAGAAGAAAGGGUGGAAUUAAAUGUUAUAAGUGUGUAUCCUCUGCCUGAACAAAUACAGCAGGUAGUGCUUUAGGUAGGGAAACCAUCUUUUAUCCAUUUAAAUGAUCAGCACACAAGAACAGCAAAACACAAGGAUUAUAAAAUGCCUGAAUCCCAUCCUUCAAGGUGGCCUCAUCUGCUAAGGAGUCACAUGCCUGAGUACUGGGGAAAUCUGAGGAGCUAAUAAUUUCCUCUGACUCAAAAGCAAAACAGCAAAGCAAAAACAAAACAAAACAAAAACAUCCAGCAUAUUUCUGAAGCUCCCUGUUUAAAUCUGCUUCUCACCGUGCACAGGAUUAUUUUAUAUUAUAAGCUGUUUCUCA